UCUGUUGUCAGUGAUGGAUUCUUGAUGGAGCUGAAUAUAAAUGAUUUGAGCCAACAUUUCGUCACCGCCACUGAGACCAAACUGGA
ensembl:snoRNA